GCUGUAGCUCAGUGGCAGAGCAUCUGCUUUCCAUACAGAAGGUCCCAGGUUCAAUCCCCAGCAUCUCCA